rnacentral:rRNA from 1 species
UACAGAGGGGGCAAGCGUUAUUCGGAAUUAUUGGGCGUAAAGGGCGCGUAGGCGGCUUGGCAAGUGGAUGGUGAAAUCCCUCGGCUUAACCGAGGAACUGCCGUCCAAACUGCUUGGCUUGAGACCGGGAGAGGUGAGUGGAAUUCCCAGUGUAGCGGUGAAAUGCGUAGAUAUUAGGAAGAACACCAGUGGCGAAGGCGGCUCACUGGCCCGGAACUGACGCUGAUGUGCGAAAGCGUGGGGAGCAAACAGG